CUCCCAUUCUAAACUCAGAACAUUCAUAAGGGGUUUCUUUGCUUGAAAAUUUACAAAAAAGCUUUCAGAAGUACUAACUGACCAGGCACUGGGAGAAAGAGUGAUGAAGCAAAGCGAUGGCAGGGCAUAAAGUGAAACCCACGAUGAGGCCAAUUAGUGCAGAAUGAAUAAACUUCAAUCUGUUACGCAUUAUCCAUUGGCGAGUAACCACACAUAGAGGAAAUGACUUAAAGCAGGUUUGAGUAAUACCUAAUAUUCUAAAUUUUUUGCAAGAAAAUUUUGAAACUCUUAAUUUUCACUCGAUUACAAUCUAGUGGUCAAUACUUUCUAAAUCAGAACUUAGAUUUCCCUUGCCUUAAGAUGGCUGCCACAUGGACUAGCAGCCUCCAUGCUAAAAUAUGACUUCUCCCAACAAAGGACAGACUUCAUCUUCCCAUCAUGCCUCUCUUCUCGCCAGUAGAGUAACCUGAUACUUGCUAUCUCCUAGCAGCUAGUGAUGUCACAAGCCCCUCCUAGUGAUGUCACAAGCCCCUCCUAGUGAUGUCACAGGUUCCUACCAUCUUUUUUUUUUUUUUGGUUUUUUUGAGACAGGGUCUCACUAUGUAGUUGAGACUGACCUGGAACUCACUCUGUAGCUCAGGGUGGUCUCAAACUCACAGCGACCCUCCCGCCUCAGCCUCCUGAGUGCUGGGAUUACAGGUGUGCGCCACCAUGCCCGGUCUACCAUCUCUUAAUAAUACCUCAAUCAAAUCCACCCCAGCUCAGGCUAACCCCACCCUGCCUCCUAUAAAAGAAACUCCCUGUUCUGCCAUGUUGCUUUUUCCUCCUUUGUUCAGAGACAGCCAGGCAGAUCCUCCCUAUAGUAAAGGUAGAGGGUCUGACAAACCCUUGGUAACUGGUUCCCCAGAACUGGGACUCUGAGACUUGGAGGGGAAGAUCCACCCAAGAGGGAAAGGAGUAGAAAUAGAUGUUGGGAAACUCCACAGAAUGAAUCAAGAAGCCAGCUGUUUAAAAAGGU
rnacentral:lncRNA from 1 species